UACCUUGAAGUGUCUCUGGUAUGUGUGGUAAGCAGCGGCGUGAGACAAGAGAAUGUUAUGAGCUACAACAUAAGGCUCCACAGAUGACUUCCCUUCCUUACAGAACCAAUGUCCCAGAAGCGAGCACCUCCCUGGAGCCUGUAUCCCUGUGUCAUAGCCUUGGAUCGUUAGCCCGCGUGGCUCAUUGAAAGUGAUCCAGUACUUCACUCUGUCUCCGAAUGCUUUGAAACAGGAUUUAGCAUUUUACUUACACGACUUGUCUGCUCAGCCAUCCUUCAUAUCUGUCUUCUAAAGCUUGUGGGAGAUCCCAGUGAUACAAUGUCACAUAAGUUUGUAGAAGAAGGAGAAGAAUGUCACCUGGUAAGCUGAAGAAGCUGUCCCGAACACAAACCCAUCUGGAAAACUCUCUCUGGUAAUAGAUUCCGAUGAAACUUGCUGACGAGACGCGAUGAAGAACAGAUACAUAACCAGGACGAGUCUCAUGAUAUAUUCCAUUCGUUGGCUGGCAUGAAUAAAGGAAAGCGAGACAGAGAAAAGAUAUAGGAGUGAAAUUGUUUGGGAAAGGAAAGAUUUGGAGGCAGAAAGUGUGAGUUAUUAUGUGCAAAGCAAAAGGGCUCCUCUCUUAUGUGAAGGCUCUUCUUUGGUGUUGACAUUUGUGUUUCUCUCUUCUUAUAUUAUUGUGUACACGUUGCUUUUACUUCUUCUGCCAAAGACUAAAAGUGUACUCUAAGAUGAAUAUAAGUUUGUUAGUGAGACAUUGAUUCACUUAAAUAAAUACCUUUGCUUUUUUGCAUUA